UCUCGCCGGUCUUUGCGCAAUUCUUAUUAAAAACUACUCGGCUCUCGCUCCUCGACUCGGUAUUCUCGGCCGAAGGUACGCUGGAACCUUGAUUGUCCCGGCUAAUUCGGAGUUGGUUGGCUCAGACAAUGAAAAUGCGCAAAUGAUGUUUGGCUAACAUCUCUUAAUUCGAUGGUUUUAAGUAAUUGGGACCGAGGUGUUUCAGGUGUAACAAGAAGUGAACUCGAUGAAACUACAGGGAAGAGUUAAUUGAAUAUUAUAAAAAUUACGAGACAGCAGAAACCCGAGCAAUCAACCGUUCGUUAGUGACCGACAAGAUCUACGAGAUGGAAGACAAAAGAAUUCUCAAAGCUGCGAAACAACGUUCGAUCGGCUACACGGGUUUGCGCAAGGGUUGCGCGUGGAAUGAUUUCCCCUGCAGAUGCUCCCGGGAAACGGGGUCACGAAGGAACUCCGCUUUCGAUGAUUUCAUCGGCGGGACGCGACGCGAUCCAACACGAUGCGUGACUCUAUCCUCUCGUUGUUACUAAUUGCGAGGUACCGAGUGGAGGCAUCUCGCGUUACAUGCAGUCCGUUCGACCGAACCUCCGAUAAUAAUUCAAC